rnacentral:rRNA from 1 species
GAUGAACGCUGGCGGCGUGCCUAAUACAUGCAAGUCGAGCGAACAGACGAGGAGCUUGCUCCUCUGACGUUAGCGGCGGACGGGUGAGUAACACGUGGAUAACCUACCUAUAAGACUGGGAUAACUUCGGGAAACCGGAGCUAAUACCGGAUAAUAUAUUGAAACACAUGGUUCAAUAGUGAAAGACGGAUUUGCUGUCACUUAUAGAUGGAUCCGCGCCGCAUUAGCAAGUUGGUAAGGUAACGGCUUACCAAGGCAACCAUUCGUAGCCGACCCAAGAGGGUGAUCGGCCCCACUGGAACUAGGCCCCGCUCCAAGCUCCUAAGGGGGCCACGCUUCGGGAUCCUUCCGCAAUGGGCGAACUCUUGUCGGAGCAACCGCAGGUAGGUCAUGAGGUUCUUCGGACCUAAAACCUUGUUUAUUAGGGAAGAACCAAUUUAUAGUUUGCUGAUCACGUCUUGACGGUACCUAAUCAGAAAGGCACGGCUAACUACGUG